AUGCAGCAGCUCGGUCCUCCCGCCGGCAUGCAACCAGUUGCCUUCAAUGCCGGGUCGGCGUACAAAACUGCCGCAGGGCCGCCAGCUAACACUCGUCCACGCAAACCGAAGGGCGGCAAGGGAGGACGCCCUAAAUACCAUCAGGGUGCGGCGCCUCCUACUACCACUGCCGCCGCUCCCUUCAUGUCUCCGCAAGGGCAGCAGGGGGUAGCACCUGCUCUCGUCUCUGGACCAACUCUGACAGCAGGACAUGGACAAAUGGUAACUAUCCAGAAUCAGCCACAACUACCGGCUCAAUCCGCAGGGUCUGAUGGUGUCGCAAUGGUGCCUAAAAAGAUGUGGUGCACUAAAUGUCAGUCUGCAGGACACCUUGCUGAUGACCGUGAGACACCGCAAUAUUGUUUCAUAUGUAACAAGAUGAACCAUCCGAUGACCAUGCGCCGGUGCCCUGCUCUUAAGAUGUCGAAGCCGGUGGCGAUGCUUUGUGGAUAUGGUACUGAGAACAUGGCCUUCUUUCAGAUGCCUGACAACGUUUGCAGGGAGGAUCUUUCUCCACAAAUUUCUCCAACGGCGUUAGUCACGAUCUCUGGUGGUUCUAUCACUCCCAGUAUUGUGGAGGCCGAGGUUGCCAAGAUUGCACAGUAUCAACAACAGUGGACCUGGGAAGCUAUACCACAUGGUCAGAAUGCUUUUCUCAUGUCUUUCCCUAGCGAGGAGGUGCUUCUGAGAGUCACUGGGUUUACGGUUUUCAUCAAAUCGCACAAUGUCACUUUGGAGUUGAAGUCCUGGAAGUCCGAGGAGAUACGCACUGUUUCGAGUUAA
rnacentral:rRNA from 1 species